rnacentral:rRNA from 1 species
CCCCCGCUAACAAGACAGGUCAAGGUAUAGCCUAUGGAGAGGAAGAAAUGGGCUACAUUCUCUAAGAUAGAGUACUGACGAAAAGGGGCCUGAAAUAACCCCUAGAAGGA